rnacentral:rRNA from 1 species
UACGGGGGGGGGCAAGCGUUGUUCGGAAUUACUGGGCGUAAAGGGCUCGUAGGCGGCCAACUAAGUCAGACGUGAAAUCCCUCGGCUUAACCGGGGAACUGCGUCUGAUACUGGAUGGCUUGAGUUUGGGAGAGGGAGUGCGGAAUUCCCGGUGUAGUGGUGAAAUGCGUAGAUAUCGGGAGGAACACCAGUGGCGGAAGGCGGCUCGUCUAGUACGGUACUGACGCUGAGACGCGAAAGCGUGGGGAGCCGAACGAGG